UACGUAGGGGGCUAGCGUUGUCCGGAUUUAUUGGGCGUAAAGAGCGUGUAGGCGGCCAUGUAGGUCCGGUGUGAAAACUCGAGGCUUAAACCUCGAGAUGUCAUCGGAAACCAUUUGGCUAGAGUCCGGAAGAGGAGAGUGGAAUUCCGUGGUGUAGCGGUGAAAUGCGCAGAUAUCAGGAAGAACACCAAUGGCGAAAGCAGCUCUCUGGGACGGUACUGACGCUGAGACGCGAAAGCGUGGGGAGCGAACAGG
rnacentral:rRNA from 1 species